GACGAACGCUGGCGGCGUGCUUAACACAUGCAAGUCGUACGGUAAGGCCCUUUCGGGGGUACACGAGUGGCGAACGGGUGAGUAACACGUGAGUAACCUUCCCACAACUUUGGGAUAACGCUAGGAAACUGGUGCUAAUACUGGAUAUGUGCUCCUGCUGCAUGGUGGGGGUUGGAAAGCUCCGGCGGUUGUGGAUGGACUCGCGGCCUAUCAGCUUGUUGGUGGGGUAGUGGCCUACCAAGGCGGCGACGGGUAGCCGGCCUGAGAGGGUGACCGGCCACAUUGGGACUGAGAUACGGCCCAGACUCCUACGGGAGGCAGCAGUGGGGAAUAUUGCACAAUGGGCGCAAGCCUGAUGCAGCAACGCCGCGUGCGGGAUAACGGCCUUCGGGUUGUAAACCGCUUUCAGCAGGGACGAAGCUUUUUGUGACGGUACCUGCAGAAGAAGCACCGGCUAACUACGUG
rnacentral:rRNA from 1 species